AGAGUUUGAUCAUGGCUCAGGAUAAACGCUAGCGGCGCGCCUAAUGCAUGCAAGUCGAGCGAUGAGGUCCUUCGGGGCCAUCAGCGGCAAACGGGUGAGUAACACAUGGGUAACCUGCCUUCAAGCCGGGGAUAACGGAUGGAAACGUUCGCUAAUACCCGAUGCGUACGCUUAAGAGGAGACUGUGAGCGUAGAAAGUUACGGCGCUUGGAGAGGGGCCCGUGGCCCAUCAGUUAGUUGGUAGGGUAACGGCCUACCAAGGCGAAGACGGGUAGGGGGUGUGAGAGCACGGCCCCCCACAAUGGGACUGAGAGACGGCCCAGACUCCUACGGGAGGCAGCAGUGGGGAAUCUUCCGCAAUGGGCGAAAGCCUGACGGAGCAACGCCGCGUGAGUGAAGAAGGCCUUCGGGUCGUAAAACUCUGUCUUCAGGGAAGAAAAAAAUGACGGUACCUGAGGAGGAAGCCCCGGCUAACUACGUGCCAGCAGCCGCGGUAAAACGUAGGGGGCGAGCGUUGUCCGGAAUUACUGGGCGUAAAGGGCGCGUAGGCGGUCAUUUAAGUCAGAGGUGAAAACUACCGGCUCAACCGGUAGCCUGCCUUUGAAACUGGAUGACUUGAGGGCAGGAGAGGGGAGUGGAAUUCCCAGUGUAGCGGUGAAAUGCGUAGAUAUUGGGAGGAACACCAGUGGCGAAGGCGGCUCUCUGGCCUGUUUCUGACGCUGAGGCGCGAAAGCGUGGGGAGCGAACGGGGAUUAGAUACCCCGGUAGUCCACGCCGUAACGAUGGGUGCUAGGUGUAGAGGUAUCGACCCCUUCUGUGCCGUAGCUAACGCAAUAAGCACCCCGCCUGGGGGAGUACGGCCCGCAAGGUUGAAACUCAAAAUGAAUUGACGG
rnacentral:rRNA from 1 species